GGAUGUGGCUCAGUGGUAGAUCACUUGUCUGGCAUGUGUGAGGCACUGGGUUCGAUCCUCAGCACCA
rnacentral:tRNA from 1 species